GUAUUACUCCAUCCAUUCCAAAUUGUAAGAUGUUUUGGCUUUUCCAGAUAUACACUAUGUCUAGAUACAUAGUAAAAGAAAUGUAUCUAGAAAAACUCAAAUGUCUUAUAAUUUGGAAUGGAGAGAGUAGCUUGUAC
rnacentral:pre_miRNA from 1 species